GCGCACCAGGCGAGAAUACUUUACAAUGUGCGAAAGCACGAUAAGGGAACUCUGAGUGCCUCCUAAGGAGGCUGUUCAGGUGUCUAAAAGCACCUGAAGGAAGGGCUGGGUAAGACCGGUGCCAGCCGCCGCGGUAACACCGGCAGCCCAAGUGGUAGCCACGUUUAUUGGGUCUAAAGCGUCCGUAGCCGGCUGGGUAAGUUCCUUGGGAAAUUUGGCUGCUUAACAGUCAAGCUUUCAGGGAAUACUGCCCGGCUUGGGACCGGGAGAGGUCAGAGGUACUCCAGGGGUAGGGGUGAAAUCCAUUAAUCCUUGGGGGACCACCGGUAGCGAAGGCGUCUGACCAGACCGGGUCCGACGGUGAGGGACGAAGGCUAGGGGCGCGAACCGGAUUAGAUACCCCUGUAGU
rnacentral:rRNA from 1 species